AUGAACGCCGGCGGCGUGCCUAAUACAUGCACGUCGAGCGAACAGACGAGGAGCUUGCUCCUCUGACGUUAGCGGCGGACGGGUGAGUAACACGUGGAUAACCUACCUAUAAGACUGGGAUAACUUCGGGAAACCGGAGCUAAUACCGGAUAAUAUAUUGAACCGCAUGGUUCAAUAGUGAAAGACGGUUUUGCUGUCACUUAUAGAUGGAUCCGCGCCGCAUUAGCUAGUUGGUAAGGUAACGGCUUACCAAGGCAACGAUGCGUAGCCGACCUGAGAGGGUGAUCGGCCACACUGGAACUGAGACACGGUCCAGACUCCUACGGGAGGCAGCAGUAGGGAAUCUUCCGCAAUGGGCGAAAGCCUGACGGAGCAACGCCGCGUGAGUGAUGAAGGUCUUCGGAUCGUAAAACUCUGUUAUUAGGGAAGAACAAAUGUGUAAGUAACUAUGCACGUCUUGACGGUACCUAAUCAGAAAGCCACGGCUAACUACGUG
rnacentral:rRNA from 1 species